CACGUAGGGUCCAAGCGUUGUCCGGAUUUAUUGGGCGUAAAGAGCUCGUAGGCGGCUUGGUAAGUCGAGUGUGAAAACUCUGGGCUCAACUCAGAGACGCCACUCGAUACUGCCAUGGCUUGAGUCCGGUAGGGGAGUGUGGAAUUCCCGGUGUAGCGGUGAAAUGCGCAGAUAUCAGGAGGAACACCGGUGGCGAAGGCGGAUCUCUGGGCCAUUACUGACGCUGAGGAGCGAAAGCGUGGGGAGCGAACAGG
rnacentral:rRNA from 1 species